GCCGCCUUGGCGUAGUGGUAGCGCGUCUCACUUGUAUAAGGACGAGGUGAUUAUGCAAUGAGAAGGUCAUUCGUUCAAUCCGGGUAGGCGGCA